rnacentral:rRNA from 1 species
CCUACGGGAGGCUGCAGUGGGGAAUAUUGGACAAUGGGCGAAAGCCUGAUCCAGCCAUGCCGCGUGUGUGAAGAAGGCCUUCGGGUUGUAAAGCACUUUCAGUGGGGAAGAAAGCCUUGGGGCUAAUACCCUCGAGGAAGGACAUCACCCACAGAAGAAGCACCGGCUAACUCCGUGCCAGCAGCCGCGGUAAUACGGAGGGUGCGAGCGUUAAUCGGAAUUACUGGGCGUAAAGCGCGCGUAGGCGGUCUGAUAAGCCGGUUGUGAAAGCCCCGGGCUCAACCUGGGAACGGCAUCCGGAACUGGCAGGCUAGAGUGCAGGAGAGGAAGGUAGAAUUCCCGGUGUAGCGGUGAAAUGCGUAGAGAUCGGGAGGAAUACCAGUGGCGAAGGCGGCCUUCUGGACUGACACUGACGCUGAGGUUCGAAAGCGUGGGUAGCAAACAGGAUUAGAUACCCUAGUAGUC